rnacentral:rRNA from 1 species
GACGAACGCUGGCGGCGUGCUUAACACAUGCAAGUCGAACGGAAAGGCCCUGCUUUUGCGGGGUGCUCGAGUGGCGAACGGGUGAGUAACACGUGAGUAACCUGCCCUUGACUUUGGGAUAACUUCAGGAAACUGGGGCUAAUACCGGAUAGGAGCUCCUGCUGCAUGGUGGGGGUUGGAAAGUUUCGGCGGUUGGGGAUGGACUCGCGGCUUAUCAGCUUGUUGGUGGGGUAGUGGUUUACCAAGGCUUUGACGGGUAGCCGGCCUGAGAGGGUGACCGGCCACAUUGGGACUGAGAUACGGCCCAGACUCCUACGGGAGGCAGCAGUGGGGAAUAUUGCACAAUGGGCGGAAGCCUGAUGCAGCAACGCCGCGUGCGGGAUGACGGCCUUCGGGUUGUAAACCGCUUUCGCCUGUGACGAAGCGUGAGUGACGGUAAUGGGUAAAGAAGCACCGGCUAACUACGUG